CAUAAUUUUCGGUAAUUUUUUUAUCCGCCGAUCUUUCUGCUUCUUGUCUCGGGCAGGACAGUACCGACUCUGGACCAGUUAGGCUGUAAAACCGGGAAAAUAAUUCGGGAUCGGUGGUUGAAAGCGCGAGAUGGAAACUGUGCGUUCGUUAUGAUAAGACAUUCAUUAAACCCAAGUUCUAAAAAAUGAAAUUUUACUUAAAAGAGGAAGUCGACAGCACGUAACAUUCGUGACACAAACUGAAGCUUUUACUUUUGCGUGCUGUAUCUGAAUAGUUCAGUCGUUUCGAAGCAGUUUGUUAGUGCUAAGAACCGGAAUAAUUUUCCAGUAGCUUUUUUGUAAAAGGAAAAAACAAAACAUUGAAGAGACGCGUGAAAAAAAUAUUUAAUUAAAACUCGAUAAUUUUACAAUCAAAAACUUUAAAAUGACCUAAUCUAGAUGUUCCUCUGACGUUCUUAACGUCAGAAUUCGUAUCAUCAAUUAGUUUUACCGGUUAUCGGAGAUAAAACUAAUACAUUUGAGAUGCUGUGCGACGUUUUAAUUUUCCUUUAAUCCUAUAGAGUGAGAAAUGGGAUGAAUGGCAUGAAAAUGGUGCGCAAACGCGAUAAAAUGCUACGUUAUCAGCAAUGGGUAGUAUUUUUGGGCUCAUUUAAUAAGACCUUAACCCAAAAUUUAGUUGGAAAUUGGAACUAUCCCGGAGUUUUGCGCGUAUUGCUGUGCGAUAAAAUCAGCCCGCGCUGAUUCCGCGUUCGUCUAUGGCAAUCUGAAUUUCAUCGCUGAUACCACCAAUCAGUCAGUCAACAACUGCAAAAGAAACAUCAGAAGUUUUUCGGGCCCCUGCCGGUUUUGAAGGAAUAAAUGUACGGAAUCCCGCAAGAAUCCAUCAUGAAGAUUCGAAGAUUAAAGAAUUAUUGACACUCAAUGGACCGAUAAAAUUUAAAUCCCCCGAAUGAUGGUCACGCGUGGAGUGACCUUCCGUGUCCGCAUUAAAUUUUUGUGCGUUUUUGUGUUCGAGUACGCUAUUUUGAGCGCAUUUUCUUUGAUCACCGAUGACGGGAAAAUGAACUAUGACGUCACAUCGACACAUCACACGAAAAAAGAAAUUGGAACUUCCCCCGCAGUAAACGAGACUGUUAGUCCAGGCUCCAAUUUCAACAUGUCGAAAUUCAAUGUGGCAUUUAGGUCUUCUCGUGAUGAAGUAACAAUAAAUGGAAGCACGUAUUUUCCCGAUGCAACUUUUCGUAAUGUCAAUGAUUCUGGUCCUUCAAACCAAACCGAUGGCAGUAAAAUGACUGUGCACGUUUACAAUUUAGGAGAAAAUAAAAUUUUUGAACCGCAAAAAUUGCCCUUGGACCGUCAAUUAAUCAUAUUUUCAAACGGAACACAAGAUAACAAGCGGAAUAUACUCCAUAAUAGAACACACCUGAAUACAUCAAUAAAUGACGCCGUUGACUCUAGCGAGAAUAUUAAAGAUAAGAUGAAGCUGUCGCUGCCAGAACUGGAUAGCGAGAAAUUGAGAGAUAGAGAGACCGCGCUAAAAAUUAAAGCAUUUCAUCCUUUUCCCCUCAUAAAUAAAAGCAGAUUCGAUUUUAAUAUUGAGGCUACCAAAGAAAGUGAUAAGUUAGUACCAAUCACGAUGACGCAGUCUUCAAAGCGUUCUAGUUAUAUUUUUAGCUUAAAUAAUGUCUCAGAGCAACGAAUUAAUGCGGAACCUAAUGAAAUUACCAAACUAUCCCACGAAAAGCCAUCACAAAUUAUUUCACCGCUUGCAAAAGUACUCAGGACCGUAAAUGUGCAGUCAAACAAUGACAGUCGACCAGUUAGUUUAGAGUCAAAAGAUGAGAAAAAUCUGACCGAUUUGGUGUUUAUAAAGUCGUCUAAAACUCUGAAUCUGGAGUUAGAGAAUAACUUUAUAUCGUCAAAUUCGAAGACGGAGAGUGAUAUCCAUUCAAUCAAGGCACAACCUGAGGAUCGGUUUAAAUGGUUCGAUUUGCAGCCGAAGUUCAAUCUGAAACUUUCCGGCUCAGACCCAAAGAACGUUAUCAAAUUUUCUGAGCCUCACUUCAGAAAUGACACCGAAUUGGCUGGUUUAAAGUCUAGAAGUCAGAUCAAGGAUCCUAGUUUUUUAGAAAAACGUGAUAAUAAUUCGAUUAAGCUAGAGUCGGCUGAGACGCUCAACGUAACCUCAAGUGGAAACAGCACUCUCGAUAAAAUAACCAACCGUACAAAACUGGUGGGUCAACAAAUCGACAACGAGACUGACUCGAUGACAUUAAAGUUAAAUGUAAGCCCGAGUUUCAAGAACGAAACCUUCUCGAACGUCAGCCGACGACGAGGCAAAGAGUUCAUCUCGGAGGAGACCCUGAUGGAGUCCCGAAACUACAACUACGAUCCCGCGUACCCUUCCUACGCACAACCCGUGAACCCGAGCGGCUCCGGCGAAGAGGCGUACCACCCUUUCGCGACCAUCACCCGCGAGUCCGGGUGGUACCAGGACCCGACCUACCCCACGCUAACGACCGCCAAGACGCCACGCGCUCCGCAGUUCCCGGUGCCACCCCACCGCUGGCGCCUGCCGCUCUGGUACCGCGCCCGCCUCCGCGGCUACCCCAAAGACGAGCCGUUCUACGACUACCUCGAGGACGAGGAGCUCCAGCGCUGGUCCCAGCCCACCGCCCCCGCCUCCAGCGUGAGCCCCAUCCGCCCGGAGUUCCACCGGUACCACGAGGGCGGCGGCUACGACUACAGCCCCUCCUACGACUUCGCGCACGUCCACGAACACGGCGGCCACACCGAGACCACAAGCAAGUUCGACUUCUCGAAGAUCGGGCUCCUCCUCUUGUUGAAGCUCGCCAUCGCUAAGCUCAAAGCCCUCGGUGCGCUCCAGAUCCUGUUGCUCCUCCUCCUCAAGGCCAAGCUCCUCUUGGCGAUGAUGGCCCUCAAGUUCUUCAUGGUCCUCAAGGCGAUGAAGCUGCUCAAGUACCUGAUCGCGCCGCUGUUGCUGUCGUCGCUGUUGCCGCUGCUCAUGAUGAUUCCGAUGAGUCUGCUGUCGGCGCUGCUCCCGCUCUUGAUGAACCUCACCCAGAUGCAGCCGGAUGAUCCGGACCCGCCGGAGGACCUUCCGGAUCCCCCAGAUGAAGAGCCCGAAGAAAUGCCGGAAACGCCGGAAUCUGGCGGGAGGCGGAAGAGACGGAAGCAUCAUAAAAGUCGCGCCUUGGGCGAGAUUCAAAGGCUUCUGCGCUCUGAGGAUUGCCUCCAGAGGAUGGCCUGCGAGCUGGCUGCCAAGAAACAGUUGGCCAUCGUGCCAUUUAUUGUUGCUUGGAGUUUGAAGAAGCUUGCCAACAUGUUGCCAAUCCCCAUUGUGAAAGAGUACGCAAAAGCUUACACAAAUGGCCGUCAGAUGAAUCGGUCUUCGUCAGGAUGUUCCUCUAAAUAUAGAUGCAAUUACCUCAAGAAACGGAGUUGAACAGAGACAUACUUGAAAUAUGUUUUUCUUUGAGAAAGUAAAUUAUUUACGUGUGUGCAAAAUUAAUAAGUUCUCUGAAGGGUAGAGUAUUGUCAUACGGCGGAAUUGAAGUGACGUUUGUGUCAAAUUUAUGCUAUUAUUAAUUGCAGGUUUAUAAAAUACUUUAUGCAUAUGGAUACCUGCAAGGUUGCGAUAGAAACUCCAAUUUUGCUGAAUGAUUAAGGCACACAACUUUACAACAGAAUCCAAGUCUCACUCUGUUUGCUGAAGAAGGCCGUCUCAUUCUUAUGCAGAAUUAUGAUUCUGAGGCAGAAUUUAUAGUCAUUUUGUGAUCUGAACUUGGUGAACGUAGUCACCAUAGUUAUUUUCUUUUUUUUUCUCUCUUAAUAUUUAUUGAUUGUAGUUCAUAGUCCUGGACUGGAGGGAAUAGGAAUUUGCCAUUGAGACAAGUUUAAGAUACACUAAUGUGAGGUUAUUUUUAACACAUUCACGGCCAAAAUCCUUUCAGCAAUGAAUGGAUUUCCAUCUCAGAUUUAAAUUAAUAAUAUAUCGAAAAGUGCGUUACAGCUAUUCCCGUGGACUUAAUGACGGUCCUUGCAAUGCAAUUGAAUCAGUGAGAACGAAAACACACCAACUCGGUAAUUCAAAAAUGCUCAAUUUUCAUUAAAGAGAGUCAGUUUUCAUAUAGAGGUUAUUGAAGUUAACGCAUCUGUUCCAACUUGAACCUUUAAAGUAUCCUUUAGUACUACUUGUCUUUCGGCACCAAAAAUCUUUUUCUUGUGCCAAUUUCUUCAACUACUGUGCAUUUUUGCGUGUUUUGAUUAAUUUCAUUUUUUCGAGUUGGUGUGUUUUCGUUCUCACUGAUUCAAUUAUAGUUUCCUUUUCACUUCUUCUUUGGAGUGAGGUUUUAAUUUACAUUACAUUUUAGAUUUGCAAAGAUUUCCACAUAUUAAAUAUCGAAUUUUCCUAUUGCAUUACCUGUCACACCAUUAUGAUGUUUUGCACACACCAAACGGAUUUUAGUUAAUGAUCCGUUGUACAUCUUCACUAAAUAUUCCGGUCCCACCGAUGUCAAAAUAUUGUGCGAUUCGACAAAGCUCCUACACAUUGUAAUUUAAAAAUAAUCAAUUUUUCACUGAGAUGCCUCGGCCACUAAGAGAAGUUUCAUUGAUCGUGAGAAAACAUUAUAAUUAUAGUGUAGUAACGUUGUACAAUAAAGGAUAUUUAUUAUUGAACGAAUGUAAAAAGUAAAAUUUAGCAGAAACAAGGUUAGAAAUGAAAAAGGUUUAUUUCCAUCGAUCAUAUUUGACGGAAUAAAAGCAAAGUGGCAAAACAUGUCGAGGGGAAGCCUUGAAUUAUAUAGUAAAAGUUAGCCACAAACUAAACGAGGGUAUAUACCAAAUUGAAGAAAUAAGGUAUUUUCGGAGAACUAGGGAUAGCUCCUUUUAUUGAUUGUAGGCUUCCUCACUAAUUCAAGAAGUGUCGGAAAAAUACACGUACCUCGGAGGCAGUCAUAGUUAUUGGAAACGUUUGUUGAUGGUCCUGAAAAGAACGAAAUUGAACCAACGACAAUUUCACAGUUACUGUUUAAUUAAAGAAUCCUGUUAUACUCUCUAACUUUCUAUUUAAUAAAGUGGGUCUUCUAAAUGAAACACGAUAUAAUAAAUAUUUUCCGUUUGUAAUUGUUCAUUAUACAAUUUUCCUCUAUCAAAAUACUUGCGUGGUUAUUCUAAUUUAGAGAAAAAACACCGAAAUAAGGAAAAUGAAUGGACUGUAAACUGAAACAGAAUAAAUUUCGUUUAAUUUAUAUCUCUGCCGAUGCAAGAACGUUACUGAGAUAAUAAAUUCCUGUAGGUUCAUUUAUGAAACUUUGCGACUCACUUCUCAAAAGAGAAUGACCAAAAAACUUAUUUCGCAGAUAUAUGAGGAUUUAUUGUCGAUCGAGUUUCAGCUUCUGCCCUAACGCGUCUCGAAUGAAACUAUUCGUGUUCGCGCGUGGUCUGCGCGUGUUGCAUGCACAAAAAAUGAAGGCACCAUGACAUUGUCAGGCGUACAGCGCAGCGUGAAGAUUUUCUCAGCUUAUUUUUAUUUUAUACUAACGCCGAGAUAAAAUUAAGUUUUUAGAUAGCUUCCAUAUUUUUUUCCGACUAAAAUAAUAUGAUGGCAGGCAAAAGACAAUUCUUACAGAUCAUAACUGACGGUAAUUGAGGUAACUGGUUUGAUAGAUUCACUCCCGAUCUAUAUCCAUGGAAUUGAUGCUUUUGAAGGACUUCUGAGGGUUAUAGUUCUUAGUUUGUCUCAGGUUUAUCCUCAAGACAACCAACCGUUCUUGUUAUUUUUAUCAAUUGUACUAAGUUUAAGUCAAAUCGAUGAAAGUGUUUCAAUGCAUGGUCUACUUCUUAGGAAUGUAUAGUUAAGUAAUUAAUUGUUCCAGUUACGUUGAGAAUAAAAUUUCUUUAUUUCAAAUGAAAAAGUAUCUGUGUGUUAUUGAAAUAGUUUUAUCAUUCUAACGUAGCUCUGAUGAGUAGUAUAAAUACGUUUAAAUAGUAUCUACAAUUUUCUCAAACCUUGAACACCUCAAAUCUUCAGAAAAGUGUGGUUUACCCAACCUAUUACGGUAGUUUAUGCUGACUUGUAUGAUGAUUUAAUUUUGAAUCAGAAAUACAUUUGAAUACCUUACUUCAGAAGUAC
rnacentral:lncRNA from 1 species